CUCGACACUGCAGUGACUGAGUCAGGAAACAGGCUAAGCCGAACCCGUUCCGUGCCUACGGUGACACAGAGCUCGACCCGGUGUCUAAACACCAGGCUCUGUUUUUAUCUGCCGAUGAAAGAACGCGUGAAAAGGACUUCCAGGGCUGGAUAAGUCACCGAGACGGAUUAAACGCAUAGACGUGUGGCGGGAAUAAUUGGAGGCGUGUUAGGGGUGAAGGCAGACCUGUCAUGGAUGUCACGGUGCCUCUGUGCAGGGGACACUAGUGACUGCCGGCGCUGCGGGGCUGAUUGACAGCUUGUCACAACGGGAAUUCCAGAUGUGGAGUCGGCUUGUAAGGUGCGGCGAGGCUCUGAGAUAGCUCGCCACAGCCGCAGGACUGGCGCCGGACCAGGGAUGGCUGGCUGGAGCAAACUCCUGAGUGGACUCGCAACUCAAGAAACCGCAUCAACAAGCGAUGUAUUUCUUUUUGGCAAUGCGGUGCCACUGUAGUCGACACCAGCCGAGCUGACACGUCGAGCUAGCCAAAAACAAACAAACUGACAUUUCCGAGGGGAUUCAGCCACAAGAAAACGGACCAGCCCCCUGAGAAGGGGUGUUUUAUCAGUUACGUGAAAAAUGAAGAGGACGGAGAAUAAAAACAAGAGGAAAUUCUGCAACAUGGAGCAGCAGGAGAGAGCCGGAGAGGAGAAAGAUGCGAAGGAGUUUGCAGUGCCCCCUCCUCUCCUCUUCAGGAAGCUGAGCAAUCCCGACCUGUCGCCUGCAGCAUCCACUGCCACGCGGUCCAAACUUCACCGACAGCUUAGUCAGGAUG